GGAUCUUUGCUUGAGCAACGACGUCCGCCCGUUCGAGCCUCUUCAUUCAUGGUGCAAGAGAUUUGAUAGCCUUGGCCGCUUUUGGUUUCCUGUGUUUCAUACCGUUACACGGAAUCGUUGAGUUUCAAUCGUCCCUUGUUCUUCUUGUGAUGCCCGCUGUUGGCGUGCGCAUUGCUGAUGAACCACAAAGUGCCCGUUGCCGCCCGCCUCAACCAUGUUAACUCGUGAGUUGCUUGCGGUCUGUGACGUGGUACUCGUACUCAUGGAUGCGGAACCCUCUUAGGGUAUGGGGAAUUUUCCGUUUCUACCCAAACUUAUGCAUUCACCGCUAUUUAGUGAACGACCGUUGUUGUCGUCUUAGGCCGGUUGUCUCUCCGAGUCAUUCCGUGCCGGAGCGUCAGCGACGUCGAUGAGGA
rnacentral:misc_RNA from 1 species